UUCUAAUUGGAUGAUCAUUAUUACGUCAUGUUUUGAUUGAAUGUUAAAUACAUGGAAGAUGAAAUACAUUGUUGUUGUCAUCGAUCGAUCAGAACAUAACACGUGACAUCAUCAUCC
rfam:Glycine soja cultivar W05 scaffold1570_142, whole genome shotgun sequence.